AUCCUGUUUGUGUUAUAAAUAUUUUGUGUUCAGUUUGGGCACCGUGUUACAAAACAAAGUUUACCCUGGAAUCAGCACCACGAAGAGUACCCAGACACGUUCAAACUUUGCCCUACUCUGACAGGCUAAAGGAACUGAAUCCUUGUUGGACUGAAAAGAGAUGUCUACCAGGGCACCUAAUUCAAGUAAUCAAAAUCCUCAAAGACGUCCAUAAAGCCCAGACAGCAGACUUUCUCUGACUCAACAGGAAAUCACAAACCAGAAGACACAACUGGAAACUAAAACUGAGAACGGGAGGCACCUCUGUACACAAAGGGUUGUAGGAGUGUGGAACAAGGACGAUCGACAACUAUCUGACACCGAUCCCCUGGUUUCUUUCAAGACACAGCUGGCCCUCCACUGUGUCAUGCUAAACGUACUCAUGCGACUGUUUGGCGCUCAGUGGGCAGCAGGGUUUUGCCGAAGAGGAGGGAGUGUUCCAUCAGCUGGGGCGAUGGUGCCGAAGAUGAGGAAGAUGCAGAGUCCUGCCGUGGCCCAGCGCGUGCAGGGCCAGCCUCAUUCCUCGGAUGCCCGUGCAGACAGCCAGAGGAGUUUGCUGUGCAAAUCCGCCCUAGAAACAACAUGUUUGACUUCAGCUGGAGCGCUGUCACGCCGCCUAAAUCAACCAAUUGAAAAAUAAAAACAAAUCAUUAAAACAAA